UUAGAUGUUAAGCUGAAGCCUCUGUUGA
rnacentral:misc_RNA from 1 species